rnacentral:rRNA from 1 species
UACGUAGGGGGCAAGCGUUGUCCGGAUUUAUUGGGCGUAAAGAGCGUGUAGGCGGUUUGGUAGGUCCGUUGUGAAAACUCGAGGCUCAACCUCGAGACGCCGAUGGAAACCAUCAGACUAGAGUCCGGAAGAGGAGAGUGGAAUUCCUGGUGUAGCGGUGAAAUGCGCAGAUAUCAGGAAGAACACCCGUGGCUAAGGCGGCUCUCUAGUACGGUACUGACGCUGAGACGCGAAAGCGUGGGGAGCGAACAGGAUAGAAACC